UACGGAAGGCAGCAGGGGGGAAUAUUGCACAAUGGGCGCAAGCCUGAUGCAGCCAUGCCGCGUGUAUGAAAAAGGCCUUCGGGUUGUAAAGUACUUUCAGUCGUGAGGAAGGUGUUAAGGUUAAUAACCUUAGCAAUUGACGUUAGCGACAGAAGAAGCACCGGCUAACUCCGUGCCAGCAGCCGCGGUAAUACGGAGGGUGCGAGCGUUAAUCGGAAUUACUGGGCGUAAAGGGCACGCAGGCGGUUAAUUAAGUUGGAUGUGAAAUCCCCGGGCUUAACCUGGGAAUGGCAUUCAAGACUGGUUAGCUAGAGUCUUGUAGAGGGGGUAGAAUUCCAUGUGUAGCGGUGAAUGCGUAGAGAUGUGGAGGAAUACCGGUGGCGAAGGCGGCCCCUGGACAAGACUGACGCUCAUGUGCGAAGCGUGGGAGCAACAGGGAUAGAUAC
rnacentral:rRNA from 1 species